AAGACCAUUUAAAAAUUGGAAAUUCUUGAAGACUCUGAAUAAUAUUAACAAACACAUCUUUUUGUUCCUGUAUUUAUUUGAAACAGUUUCCAAUAUGGCAAUUCCAAGUUUUAUUGGUGAUGUUAGUCCUCUGUGGGGUGGAGUAGAUUGUAUAGUGUUUAAAGAAAUGGAAUUUGGAAUUAGACUAACAGGAGCUUAGAUUAACAAUUUAGUUACAUGAAAUCUUGAGCAAUUUUCUUGUCAGAUCUGAAUGAGCCUCAGUUUCAUCAUCUGAGGGGAAAAACAACAACAACAACCAGGGAGUGACCUAAUGAAUGCAUAAUAUUUAACAAAGUGUGUAAAUAAAUGAAACUUCACUUAGAGGAAGUUAUUAUUACUAAGGUUCAAUAUGUACCAUAUUAAGAGAACUUUGUGCUCAAACACUUAAAGAACUUAACUAAAAGCAGCACUGUUAAUAUCAUAAAAUUUCUAGGGAGAAACACAUAUCCUCUGCUCUCUGUGUUCUAUAGAGGAGAGUUGACUUCAAUUCUCUAGAAGAAAAAAUCUGAGAGCAGCUCUAGUUUCCACCCAAUGCCAAAUCUCUCUAGUUCAGUCAGAACUGAACAGAAGGAAACACAUGUGAAUAAGUAGCUUAGGAACUUCUGAGUUCUCUUUGGAGAUCUUUGGAGAAGCUGAUCCUGGUUGCACGUAUUCACCUCUGCCAGGAGGGGAGAGGACUCUGAAGACCAAGAAGAGGACUGAGCCACAAUAUGGAAGAUCAUUUUCCAAAAAUAGCCAAGCGAAGACCCCUCAACCAAGAGGAUUCUUGGUAGACUGUGACAUAAAAACAAAAUAAAGAUUGACCGUGUUAAAUUGC